rnacentral:rRNA from 1 species
AGGACGAACGCUGGCGGCGUGCCUAACACAUGCAAGUCGAACGCGCUCCAUUCGGUAGCAAUACUGAUGAAGAGCGAGUGGCGAACGGGUGAGUAGCACGUGAGCAACCUGCCCCGAAGACCGGGACAACACCGGGAAACCGGUGCUAAUACCGGAUAUCCCUAUCGGACCGCAUGAUCUGAUAAGGAAAUGGAUUCCGCUUCGGGAGGGGCUCGCGGCCUAUCAGCUAGUUGGUGAGGUAACGGCCCACCAAGGCAUCGACGGGUAGCUGGUCUGAGAGGACGAUCAGCCACACUGGGACUGAGACACGGCCCAGACUCCUACGGGAGGCAGCAGUGGGGAAUCUUGCGCAAUGGGCGAAAGCCUGACGCAGCAACGCCGCGUGGAGGACGAAGGCUUUCUGAGUUGUAAACUCCUUUCAGCAGGGACGAUAGUGACGGUACCUGCAGAAGAAGCACCGGCCAACUACGUGCCAGCAGCCGCGGUAA